rnacentral:lncRNA from 1 species
AUGAAGAUUGAACUGAUAUAGAAUGUCUUUCAGGUCCGAAAUCCCUAACUUUUCUUCUUAUUUUCUAUGACUUCAUUUUUAUUAUCUUACAUUCAAAAAUCCUAUGUUUUCAUUUGUUUUGGUAGUUCUUUUUAUUUGCACCUUAUUUGUUUUAUUAAAUGCUUACUCCAAUAAGUUUGAAACAUCUUCAAAUCAUUUUGCUUAAGUGUUUUGCAUUCUAAGAGUUUGAGGAAAUACUAAGCUCUAAUAUAAAUAGUAUUGGUCAUAAAGUCUUCUUUUCUUAAGAAGCUUACCAUUGACCUAAUGGCCAAAGGAUCCCAAAAGGAAACGACUUUGGGUUGGCUUGAAGAUUUCACAUGGUCCAAACAUUCGUAUUUACUAAAUGCCUGAUACAAAAGAAAUUUUGCUUUCUUUUCAAUUUAGCCAUUAAUGUAGUCUAAAUGUUUUAUUAGAGCAAUAAUUGUCAAGUAAAUGCAAAAUAGAGAAUGGUGUUAAUGAAUUCAGUACUUCAUCUAUGUUGUAGACUUGUAGUUUAGCAGCUUCUGUUGAUAAUGAGUGUGGGGUUGGCUUUAUCAUGUCAGUGUUCCAAAUAUUCUUAAAAAAAUCAUUUAAGCUCUGUUUGGUUCUUAGAAAAUUUGAGGAAAAUGUGAGGAAAACAAAAUAGAGAGGAAAAGUGGAAGGAAAAAAAAGUGAAAGUCAAUAAAUUAUUUUUGUAUGCUACUUCAAACUCACUUCACAUUUUUUUAACUCUUCAAUAUAAAGAUUAAAUCAUUUGAAAAAUGUGUAAAUUUCUAAUUAAUUUUAAUUAUAUUUUAUUUUCUUUGGUAUUUUCCAAAAGACAACCAAAUAUGAGAAAAUCAUUUUCCUUAACAUUUUUUUUCUUAGUACUUUUAGGGAACCAAACAUAACCUAAAUGUUUUAGUUUAGUAGUUUCAUCAAAUUAGAUAGGCGACCUCACAUCUCUUAGUGAGCUGAGGUGCUAUGUCAAUUAAUGCUUUGUCUCUACUUCAUUGAAGUCUCUAUCUAUUGGAUGCACAGAUGAUAUGAUCCAAACUCAAAUUGAACACUACUCUUGUUUUGCAACAUUACUGCACUCGAAAGGCAGCUUCAACUCACUUAUAGACCUUCCUAUUGGUGAUUGCACUGAAUCGACAUCACUUUGGAAGAGAUGUGUUCCACAUAGAAAAUCUUUCAUUAUAUGCACCUACUCGCAAGAUACCAAAGGGAAACAGGUGAAUACUUGCCCAAGAAUACAAAGACCAUACUUGGUGAAGGUUCUGUCAAUAAGGAGAACCAUUUCAAGUAUGGAAUUCUCAUUUCUUCUCAUUUUCUUAUGGCUUCAUUUUUAUUCGAUAUCUAUAUGAAAUUAUUUAUGUUCAUUUUCUUUAGAUAUUACAUUUUUUUGCUUUCUCAAUAAUUUCAUUCAAGUUCUUUUGAUAUCACAUUUUCUUUGGUGUUUUUUUUAGAAUAAUUGAAAAUGUCUUUUUUAACAGUUCACAAAAUUUGAUCACAAUUGAGUGAUUAAAGUUCAAGUUUAUUAUUAUUAUUAUUAUUAUUAUUAUUAUUGGUUAUUUGAUAUAUUUGUUUUCUUAUACAGACAAAAGACCGGCAGCUAAUGUGCAUAGAAUUUGUAGAAGAGAAUAAAGAUUUGAUAUAAGCUAUUCCUAAAGACCAGAAACUUUUAGAGCUACCCAAGAUCUCACAGGUUGAAUUUUGAUUCACCCAGUUUACAAUCCACUAAUUAUCCUUAGAUCAUUUUUGUUAUGUUACAAAUUGCCUUUACUUGUCAUGCAACCUAUCUUAAUAAUUUGGGAAGACCAAGAUAAGGUCUUCCUAGUAGAACUGGCUCACAGGUUAAAAAGGUAAACUCAUAUCACCUAUCUACAUGCCCACAACAAUAUAAACACUAGCUUAUGUGUUCCUCACUAUUGAGAUUGUUGCUGCAUGUAGGCAUUUUGGGCGAGGAAACCCGACUUGUGAUCAUCAAUAACACAAGGCAUGCUUUUAUACAGAGAAGCCCAAAGAAACAUUUAAGCAUUUUGUUAGCCCAAUGGUUCUCCUAAUCAUGUUUUGAAGAUAACAAAUCAUGGUUAAGUGACUAAUUGGUUUGAAUGGUAAAGAAUCUUAGGUAUAAAUUUGGAAAUUCAUCAAAGGACCAAAUGGAUACAAGAUCGAGACUUUUGGAAGACUUUUGAUCAUAGGAAACAAAUGUAAGAUGAAUGCAUGGGUGCACUUAGGUUUUACAUAUCUUUUCAUGCAUCUUUGAAAACUCAGUUUAUUCCUUAAAAUUAC